CCAUCUAUCUAAUGAUGGACACUUAGGUUGUUUCCAUAUCUUGGCUAUUGUAAAUAAUGUUCUAUGAACAUUGGGGUGCAUGUAUCUUUUCAAAUUAGCAUUUUCUUUUUCUUCAAAUAUAUACCCAGGAGUGGAAUUGCCGGAUCACAUGGCAGUUCUAUUUUUAAUUUUCUGAGGAAGUACUUCUUUCAUUUUUAUCCACUGUGUGGAUAGACCACCUUCUAUUUAUCUAUUCAUCAGUUGAUGCACUUGGGGAGGAUUUUAGGACUACUCUGAGCCAAUCUUGAAACCUAUAAAUGACGAGUAACUUUCUCCAUUUCCCGAUCCAGUUGCUAACAUGACAAAACCACUGACUGAAGAAGGUUACGUGCAGGGCCUGUGAAGGUGAGGCGCGCGGUGAGGCAGAAAUGGGACGGGCGUGAGGGAAUCGGGAGCUUCAUCCGCUAAUGAGGAGAGGAAAGUCAAGGUCAUCCAGGGACUCUUUGUGCAAGUGUUAUCGAAAGUGGGGUCUGGCUGCUCACCGCUCAAAAGCCAGUAAAGAGUCAAGGUUGGUGGAAGGGAAAGUUUGCUUUAUUUCGGAGGCUGGCAACCAGGAUGGGUGGGGAGGGCGGACUCGUGUCCAAAGGCCGACUCCCCCAUGGACAAUCAGUGGACAAGAGCUUUUAAAGUGGAGUUUCAGGGGUGUAGAAGCAGAAGAAGGGGGCUACCUGCAGAAACAGCACCGUCAGCUCUGACGGUCAUCUUGAAAUUGGUCCUGCGGUGGUCCGACCAGCAUCAUCUUGAUUGUUCUAAGUACAGUUAGUCUCCAGUUCCAGGGUCGGUUUGUUCCCGUUUCUUUGAGGCCGAUUCUCAGAGCUGUGGCCUCUUACGUCAUGGCUACAUUCUGGUCAUCAUAUAGUUAACUCUUCCACCUGCUGGAGGUUUCAGUGUCUAUAAGAGAGCUCACAGGAUACGGCUCAGAAUAUUAUCUGUAGCCCUUGAGGAGGAAGUAAAGGUCCUUGACUUUGCUUACUGACUAAACUAUUAUUAUUUGGUCUCCUUUGACUGCUUUCCUUUGCUUCUGCAUGUUCUCACUUCUCUGAUUUAACUUAUUCUUCGGCUAAAGAUUUUCUACAGACAGAAGUCAAGCGGAGGACAUGGGGGGCAAGGGCCACACGGUCCUGCUCCGUUUCAUAAGGACUAAAUCUGAACUCUGUCUGCAGCUCUGACCAUGAAGCCAUAAAGCCACAGGCUGAAAGGAGUGCUUGUUCCAGGGGUGGGAGAGAGCCCAGGGGUGGUUUCAAGCUUGUCUCCUAUUUCCCCUGGAAGCCCUGCUGGGAAGCAGCCAACCACACUCCUUCCGGGAACGUGCGUGACCGUCGCUGUCCUUUGCACGACAAUGUGCCAAAUCCUGUUAUUAAUGAAAUGAAUGAUGUCGUUGUCCUUGCUGGCAAAGGCCCACGUUGUACGAAGGUGCACUGCUUCGUGUUUUGCGGGGGUGGGGGCAGGGGUGAGCCAUCCAGACCAUGAGCUCUCUCAGCUCAGCUUUGGGGGGAGGCCCUGGGGGUGCAGCCCGUCCCCUGCAUGCCCUGCACUGCAUCCGAGCUGGAGCAUCUAAGUGCAAAACAAGAAAUGAGGCCAGAGCGCAUCAGAGCUGCGGCUGCGUCCUCUUGGAGGGACAGAUUCGGGGGGGGGGCGGGGGGGGAGACUGUGGUGACGUGUCAGGCUCCCUUAGAGCUGGGCAGGGCUCGCCGCUUGCUGGACAGGCACUGCUGUCCACACUGGGCAUCCUCCCCCGUGUCCCCCCCGCACCGCAUCGCUCCCGUCCACCUCACUCUUUCCUGUCCCCCCUUCCCUGUUCCCAAGGGUGGCCGUCCAGCCGCGUCUUGCUUUCCUCUGGCCCCUUGUCUGCACCCUGCAGCUGCUCAGGAGAGGAAGGGAGAACAGGAGAAAGGAAACUAGACAGAAAUGGGUGUGGUUGAGGCAAGGAGGGCUGAUUAAGGCAAAUACAGACAGAAAUGCAGGAAGCUCCUCAAAGAACAUCAUCUCCGACACACACAUGUGGGCACACCGCACACGCACACACGUGCACACACAUGCAUCCUCCCCUCAUCUUGUCUCCAGGAAUAUUCUAUUCAGGAGUGAGGUCCUCAGGUUUGGAACCAGUUGCCCAGAGUCCUGGUUGAGGAACGCACCUCCACUAGCCUGACGCGUAGCUGGCGGGGCUCUGGGGAAAUCAGCAGAGCCAAGAGCCCCGCCCCCCCAACUCACCAGAGAGCCAGGUGUCAGAGGCUGUGCCCACCUGACAGAGCAGCCACUGCACCCUCAGCAGGAUGGAACAGAUGCUCGGAAAUGCUUGUGUGUGUGGUUAUUCAUUUGGAUGCCCUCCUGCACGCCACUCUCUGAAAAGUUGCAUCGCAUAAGCUGGGACUCCCUCUUCUUAUUGGGCAAGGCCACCCUUUGAUUCUUUUCGUCCCAACAGAGCAAACCACGUUAUCCCAGGAGACUGAGGGGACGGUGUAGUUCUUGCCAAGUGCGUGGGUUCUAGAGCCAGGCUGCCUGGGUUUGAGCCAUGGCCCUGCUACUUAGGAGCUGUGUGGCACUGCACAAGUUACUUAACCUCUCUGUGCCUCAGCUUCCUCAGUAAAAGCUGCUGUUGAGAGUACUUAGCUCCUGGGUUGUGAGGAUGACACCAGUUAGUGUGUAGCUGGUGUGUAGAACAGAGGGUGGCCCACGGCAAUGACUUAACAUGGUAGCUGGUAUGUGAGAGCGUGUGUGGACCAUUCCCUGCGACACAGGGUGUCGCCCACACGAGUUCCAGCUCUCUGCCCUCAGGGAGGCAUCCUGCCCCCCUCAUGGCCUCAGAGGUGGCUUAGCUGGCCUUGCAGGUGGGCAGCCAGGGCUCUGUGAGUCUCGGGGCAACUGGGUAAGGAGGAGGUGAGGUUGUGGGCAGCCAGGGCUCUGUGAGUCUUGGGGUAACUGGGUAAAAGGGGGAGGUGAGGUUUUUAUGCCAUUUGUUGCUUUGCUCGGGGCAGAAGGAAUCCACGGUGACAUCGGUCACAACCUUAUUUUGCAGUUGUGGGAUGUUGGAAGGUAAGCUUUUCCCUAAGCUCCAUGACCUACAGACCCAAGGGGUAUUUAAUGCGGGGGAGUGGGCAUCGCAGGAGACCCAUGGUCUCCUCCCUCAGGGCAGGUCUGUGCCGUGCUCGGAGAAAGGGCGCUAGACUCAGGUGGUCCUGCCUAAACGUCAUCGUCCCGUUCUCUGGAUCCCACCUGCUUCCCAGGGGUUAGGUGGCAUCGUGGCAUCUUGGGUCCUGUACAGGGGACUUUUCAAGGGUCUCCCAUAACAGGUGUAAGGUUAUCUACCUGUAACGGGUGGUAUUGUGGAGACACAGGUGAGAGCUGCCUGCAGAGGGUGACCGCAGCCUUCAGCACCGUGUUUACAUCCUCCUGACAUCAGCCUGGUAGAUGCCAUAUGAGGUCGUUUCCCACGGGGAACUGACGUUUACUCUGCAUGGCCAACCUCACAAGCUAACCUCCGUGGUGCCCACAGUGCCUGUCGCAGGGGAGGGAGGAAGAGGAAGCUUGUGGCAGAGGAAGGUCUGGCGUUAAACAAGGAAGACCACCAUGGAGAAGGAAGUGGCCUGUCCCCUCUGAGGAUGGGAAGUGGGUGUGAGUUGCCGGGGAGGGCGAGGGGACCAGAUUAGGGCGAUGGCAAAGGAGAGCAUCGGGCUGAGGGUGGGAGGGUCCGGCUGGACUCAGGGAGCCUUGAAGUCCCAGCAGAAUCGCUUGACUUGAUUCUAUAGGAAAUGGCAUGGACUUACGUGGGAAGCCACACAGACUUGUCCUCUGGCUGAGGUCUAGCUGGGAAACUUUCCCAGGCGGAGAGAAGGGCACGGGUGGCUCACGCAAGCGGAGAGACACGUAACCAAGCGUGUCCUGCCGGCCCUGUCGCUAAACCAAAUCCUCACGGUGGGGAUUAUCCAUUACUUUGUGUAGUUCUUCAAGUCUCCUAAAUCCUCUUUGUCCCGAGCAUGGCUAAUCCAGGUCUUACAUACACGCGAUGUUUCACAAGCCUUCACAGGACCGUCGUCUUGUCAGGAGGAGAAACGGAAGCUCUGGUUUAGGGGCUGCCCCAGAGUCACCAUGGAGCUGGACAGAGCAGGGGCCACCCGCCCCUUCAUUCAGUGACCUGGCUUUUAAACCUGGUUCUUUCCCAGUAUCUUAGACAGAGAGGAGGAAAGGAUAUACUUAAGAGAGGGCAUUGGGACAAACAGCCAUUUAAAUUGCUUCUGCGUAAAGGUGGGGUGGGAAUUCCUAUUCCCCCGAUAUUCCUUCGGCGGACUGGUGAGCAGAGAGCUGGAGGAAGAGUGAGAGUUUGGCAGGUUCAGAAAGAAAUACACUCAAUCCUUCACCGUGUGGGAUGGAGGGGUGGGGGGAGGAGGGAGAGGUGAACCUGAGAUGGGGGGCCUUGCUGCCUUGGGGGAGGCCUGAAGGUGUGAGGUCCCCGCGCACCUGCCUCUCUCAGGGGACCGCCUUUGCUAAGAGUGUGGGGCGAGGGGCUUGGGCGUCCGGGCCUCCCCCUGGGGGCUGACCCCUCUGACUUUCUCCCCACCCUACCCGGAGCUGCCGCUGCCACCCUUUGCCCUCCUCCUCCCCUGGGUGGCCUCCUGAUUUCCUUCCCUGGGGCCGUGAGAGUGGCCGGGGCACCCGUCCAGGUGAGGAAGCCAGCCUCACGUCCUGGUCCCCAGUAAGUGUGUGAGUGUGAGCACGAGUGUGUGUGGGCCCGGGGCUGGGAUCGCCCACAGAUGAGAGCUCGGGAGUAGAGAGCUUCUAGCGGGUGGGGCCGCCCUGCCGUGGAGCCCGAGGACCUGUCGCUGGGACCCACCACCAACUCCAGCACCCUGAGCGGCCAGAGCACGUGGGGCACCAAGCAGAGGAGCCGGGGAGGCGCGACGGGGGUGAGUGGAGCCCUGGACGCACUGGGUGGGGCUGGGCUCGGGGAGAUGGGGAGAAGCCACGAUGCUCAGAAGUGCUGCAGGCGGAGCGAGAAGAGGCGGACACGGGGGCGGGGGUGGGGGGGCGCGUCCUGCCUCUCUGCCCCUCCCCGCAGAGGCGUGCCGCGCAAUAGCCACGCCCCUCCCCUGGGCCCCCCCGCAAUCUAGACGCAGAGUGAUGGCCGAUGGAAUCUCCCCGAAGGGGACCGUGGGUGGUCGUCCAGUGUCCAAGGGUGGGACAGCGGGGCUGCCAGCCCGUGGCCGGGGGUCCUAGCCCCUCAACUCACGCUGCGGCGGAGGGAGGGCGUGGGCGGAGGGAGGUGGUCUGCACAAGACCCCCAAACCCCAGUUCUACUCCUAGGUGCUCGCGACGGCCCUGGUCCUGGAGAAGCUCUGGAAUAAAUACCCGUGGGCCUUAGAAAACAGAGACCCGAGGCCGGAGUCCUGGUUUCUGGUGCACUGGUCGCUGCCAGUCACCCCCUUCCUAGCCUUCUAUCUGCUCCUGGGGGUGACAGGUCCUCGCCUCGUGUCCCGUCGGGAGCCUCUGAGGCUGGCAGGACCCCUUGCGGCCUACAACCUGGGCCAGGUGCUUCUCUCAGGGGUACACGUUCUAUGAGGUAAGGCCGGUGGGGGGCCCUGCAGUCCUAGGGUCUCUUUUAUGGGGGUGCCAGGGGACAAUUAAAACCACGAUCUUCCCAUGCAGACAGCUGAAAAGCCUUGAUGGGGAUCUACAGGGGCUGGGGUCCUGGGUUAUUUUUGGCUGUGAUAUCUUCCCUAUGGCGAUACAAAUCCCCAUCGCUUACGCCCAUUUUCCUUUUCCUGAAAUAAAAAAGUGGAGGUCGGUGGCAAGCAAGAGUGGAAUGCAUCCUCCACCUGCACCUAAAAACCCACCACUACCUCCUGUUUCUGCCGGGCUCUGCUAAGUUCAGCCCAGUUUUCUGAUCCUUCCUGAUGCCUUGUUCUCGGGCAAAUAGUCCGUCAGCCCAUGUGCACUGGGUGCCUGCUUUGUGCCGGACCUGCAGGGUCACCGCUGCGUGAGGCACUCCGGCCCUCCAGGUGCCGGAGGGCUAGGAGGAGAUGGAUGCAGAAACAGGCGGUUGCAAGUCAGUGCGAGCGGGGCCAUAGAGAGCACGCACCCGGGACAGGGCGGGCGGAGCGGCAGGGACCCUGCUGGGGUGUCCGGAGAAGCUUUUCAGAGAAAGUGGUCCUGGCGGCUGACAUGUAAAGUGGUCACCGCAGCGAGGCCGUGCGCUGCGGCCUUUGUGAAGAUCUGCUCAUCCCACCCUCUGUCACGAGGCACGGUGCAGGUAAGUACCUUGGCAGGUGGCAGGGCGCCCUGGCCGCAAGCUCGCCUCCAUCCUUCCUGCCUCCGUGCCAGCAGGGACCAGGCAGGCGGUCCAGCCUGAGGAAGCAGGUCCGGACAGCUCUGCCUUGUUCGUUCACCAUCUCUCCCUUAGUGAUUGGCCUGCCUUCCUUGCUCCGCACUGCUGCCCAAAUGAUCCUUCCCAGCCACCGGAAGGGUCCUGCCAUGCCCCCAGCGGCCCUGAUGUCUUCCUGGCCAGCAGGGCUGAGGCAAGGCUCCUCCACUGGGUGUACGGGGCCUCCCACGUCCUCUCUGGCCUCAGCUUUCCCUUCCAGCCUCACCUCCCUCCACACCCCGUGGUCGCCCUGCUCACCUGCCUUGCAGCCCCGCUGGGUCAGGCCCAAGGCCCUGGCAACUGACUGUUUUUCUGCCAGAAAUGCUCUUCUCCCCUGGUGCCCAGACAAAUCCCCGCACAUCCUAUAGACUCAGGCCUUUGUCACCUCUUGUGAAGUUUCCCUGAGUCCCCAGGGCUGGGUUAGUUGUCCCAUCACUUGCUUUUCACUUCUGCUCUCCGUGGUGGACGGGCAGCCCCACCAGCUGGCAAGCUCUAAAUGUGAGUGUCUGCAUCUCCCCAGCUCCAAGUUCAGUGACCUCCUUUGAAAUCAGCCAGGGUGGGAGGAUUUGCACCUUAGGAACGGGCAGACACUGCCAGUCAGCCCCUCCCCGCCGAGAGCCUGCUAGGCACUGACCAGCCGCAGCCUUCCCUCUGACCCUCCCCUGUUUCAUCACGUACACGUUUGUCUGUCUCCCCUCCAAAUGGCAAAGUGCUUCGGAAGCACAGCCAUCUCUUAUUCUCUUUGUAAAGACAGGCCCCACAUCACGUCUGGUACCACGUGGAAGAUGCUGAUACCUUGUGAGACAUGUCCUAGGAUUUGCCAUUUAAUUGUGGUGACAGAUGACUGCUGCCACCGCAAUCCUCUGAAAGUCUGCUGUGCCCAUGUUGGCGUCCUGCUCAGAAGCCCUCCGUAGUUCCCUUUGCCAAUAUAACCUGAAUGCAGAGGCCCUCGUGUAGGGAUUUUUAUCUGUUUUAUCAUCGAGGUGGCUCGGGGCUCAGCGCAGGGCCCAGCGUGGAGAAGUGUUUAGGACCAGUCAACGCAUCAUUGUCAAAUGAGUAAACAAAUGAUAAAAUUCAAGUUUCUUAAAGCAGCCUUCAAGACCCCUCGUGAACCGAUUCCGCUCCCUCUCAACUUCUGUGGCUGCCCCUCCCCUGGUAGAAGUCUCCACUUGCAGCCCUGGAGAGUUAGGAGAGGUCCAGACACUCUCCUCCUGGCAGAAAGCUCCCUUUCCCUCCCCUCCAUUUGCCCCCGGCCUCCUCAUUCUCAGCCGGCUACCAACUUCUGGGACGUCUCCUGUUUCUUACUCUUCAUCUGGCCUCAACCUUGAAAGUGAAGAUGGUUUCCUGCAUCCUCAGGGAAGCUCUCAGCUUCUCGGGGGCAGGGGGUGCUGACGUGUGCACGGCUUCAUGUCCCCUCCUGACUUACGGUCUCACACAUGGUAGGUGCCCAGCGUGGGUUUGUGGUCUAUAUUUGCCCCCAUCAGAAAAAAAAUUGGAGACCAGCAAGAUGUAUGCAAGUCCUAGCCUGUGAUCUAGCCAGUGCACAGAGUUUACCCGGUUGGCGAUUGUUCACCAAGUGUCAGUGGGGGUUGGGGAGGGAUGCUGGUGUCCAGAACAUGUCCGGAGGUGGCAGCAGCCUCUCGGGCCUUCAACCGGUCAGGCCCCACCACGGUGAGGGUGGGGCAGGUGUCAUGACUCAAUCUUUUUCUGUUCUCUUCCUGUUAGUUCAUGGCCACCUCGCUCCUGGCUAAUUACAGCUAUUUCUGCCAGCCAGUGGACAACAGCCAGAGUCUUUUUAUUCUACGAAAGAAGCCCGAACAGCUCACCUUCCUGCACGUCUACCACCAUGGCACUGUGCUCCUCAAUGGACAUAUCUGAGGGGCAACAGGAGAAGCUGGCUUAAGGGGCGGGACCAAGGACUGAAGCUAACAGAGCCGUCCCCAGAGAGAGUUUGGUGGAAGAUGGCGUGACUCACGUCCCACUCAUGACGAGCAGAUUCCUCUGGGCCCCGCACUUCAUCCUAUGAGGGAAGGACAAUACUCGCCUCCUUCCAGAGUUGAGGAGAACAGAAAUGGACCAGCUUCCUGAACUCACUUCUCCUGUGGAUUUGUCACUGUUUGUACACCUCCUUCCUCUACUAGACAUGAUCCCCCCACAGGAGGGAUCGUCUUACUCUCAAUGUUUCCCAGACCUGGCACAGCAACUCAAUAAAUGUGCAUUUAGAUCCCAAUCUUCCCCCACUGGCAGUCGUGGCCUCUGAUGAGAAGCAGGGCUGAGAGCAGCAAGGAAGUCAGGGUUGGCUUGAUCUCUCACCUUGCAGGCUGGGUCAAUGACCGAGAACAUCCAAGGAGUGCGGGUCUGUGUGAUUUCUAGCAUGGUUGUGCAAACGGUCCCCCUGCAUAUCUCUCUGUCUGUUCAUGAGUGCCCACACAUGUAUUUACAUAGUUGUAUGAUUCUGUGUGUGAGCAUGGGGGGGCGGAGAGGGCUACACAUAUAUGUCUGACUACUUGUUUUCAAAUCCCAUGUGUGUUUCUGUUUAUGAUCUUCUCUGUUGAUGUUUCUUUGCUUGCCUCUUCCGUAAAUCUCGGAAAAUGCCACACUAGCAAAUAAAAGCUAUUGGGAUCCGUAACUUUCCUCUCCCAAUGGGAGACAUGGAUGUCCACAAGAGGUCUCCGAAUACAUGUUCCACGGAGAGCCUCCCAAAAGGGAUGUGAGUAAAGGAGGGGUGGGGUUAAACAAACGCAGCCAUCCACUUCACAGAGAGAGAAAGAGAGGACCAGCAAAAGGAAGUGUACAACUGAGGUCGCGUGGGAUGUUGGAAGCAGACAUCUGCUGCGCUGUUUAUGACCGGAACUGGAUGGGAGCCUGGAAUGCAGUUUUCCUGGGAGCUGCCUCUAUGCUUGCAGGAUGCUGUUCUCCUUUAUAAUCUCCCCCCGUACUCUUCUCCUUCACUCGGGAAGUUCUUAUUUUGCCGUAAGAACUCAACAGUCAAGAACAUUAAAGACCUGCUGAAGUUUCUGCAAGGCUAUUUGUGGACUAUUUAUCUAUCCAUCAGGUACUCUAGUUAAUUACCUCAAGGCCAGGCAGGGCUGCACCCUGUGGGCAGAAUACUCAGAGAAAAUUCCCUCCCAGUUAUGCAGGAUAUGAACGCCUCCCACACACUUUUCCACAGCAGGUUGAGUGCCUUCGCAGGUGGGGGCUUAUUUUAAGGCAAUCAUUUUUUUCUUUUUUUCUUUACUGCAUAAGAGUAAGGUCUGUUCGUUUGCUUAGCAGCCAGGAUAAGGGAAAGAGGAGUCACCCCAGAGUUCAGAGCUAACAUUUGUCCUCUGUGGCUGCCUCUGACUGAUUAGCACAAGAGGAAACGCUGUGUCCUGGAUCAGCUCUGAAUGAAAUAAGGUUUUGGCAGAGAGAGCCCAGCAUUAAGCGGCAUGGUGGAGAGGGUUUGGGGAAAAAUUCUCAGUGAGCUGAAAGCGUCCAUCCUUAUUUUAACCUGCAUUUUACUGUAAUGACCUCAUUCACGGCUGCUGGGCGGGAUGUUGUAUAUUGGUGUAGAGAGGUUGUGUGAAAUUAUAAAACACAAAGUUAUUUGUAUUUGUCAGAACGCAGCCAGAUUCCUAAUUAACAUGGCAGAAGUUCACGUCUAUGAACUUUUGAAGAUAAUGGAAAUCAGGAGUGCUGGUUAAAUUUUUUUUUUUUUUU